rnacentral:lncRNA from 1 species
AUUACUAAGGGAAACCACCAGUGUCUCCCAACUUUCUGGUAAUGAAUUGAGAAGUAACAAUGCCUGCAACUCAUUAUCAAGAGACAUUUUUAUAGAGGAUAACUGGUUAGUAAUACUCUGCAUUUCAUUCAAAUGCUCAGCAAUAGAAGCACCCUCUCUAUAUUUUAGGUUCACAAGUUUUCUGAUCAAAAAAGCUUUGUUGCCAG